GGUUUUCGGACGUCUUUGCAGGCAUCUUCCACAACUUGACGUGAGUCUCAUCAAUACAACAUCUAGUAAAUGAUGGCGUGAGAAGUGCGUGGUGCGUCACACGGCACACGUACGUGUCGAAGACAAGUCGGCAGACGAGAAUAAAUGGCAAAGUAGAACACAGUUUGGAAAGGUUAGUCGUUGGAAGAAGUCAACGUGCGUCCAAACUUUCGUGUGGCGAAGGAGCCGAGCUAGCUUGCACUUGUCGCGGACAAAGUCGGCGCACCCCCGGCGGGCGGAGACACAACAAACAGCCCCCCCAUUACUCGGUGCACCCCCAGCGGGCGGACACAAGCGGGGGCUUGGAGGGAAACAAACAAACACCCCCCUUCCCCCCUCCUCCUCCAUUGUGUCCCCAUCUCCGGCGAGGAAAAUGGCGUUAGAAAAGUGAGAUGGAUGUCCCGCCAUGGUUUUCCAUCUUGAAAUGGCCAGGACCGUGGUCUGAUGUUCUCUGGAUGCUCGUUUGGAAGCAGCUCCAGUAAGAUUGAAAUCACAUGCCUGACCAGAGCAGAUGCACUGUUGAUGUUGCUUCCUCCGCCGGUCGUGACAAGCGUUUGCCGGAGGUCACGAGAGGACGCUCGCUGUGUCGGAACUAUUGUGGAGCAAACUAGGAGGAGUGAAGAGUUCAGGCUCUCAGAAGCACAAUUCACAUUUGCAUAAGUGAGGCUCCUCCGGCAGACAAAAGGGAGACAAAACAGUCGCUGCUGGCUUUGGGAGACCAGCAGUUUGGUGUAUGUCAGUAAAAAUGUUGAUUUUGUUCCUUUUAGCCUUUUCAUCAUCAGCCUGUCGUCAUGCAUGGAGGCCAAGAUAUAAUUACACACUCUGUUGAGGCGGGGCUGAAGAAUGGCUGCCUUUAUUCAGAUCUUAAUAACAUCAACAAUGAGCAGUAAACACCUCUGCUCCUCACAGUAUUUGCAAAACAAUCUUCUUUUUUUUAAACUUUUAACAUGUGCCAUUCCCCUGAAAGAAUGUUAAAUACACAUUUUUAAAAAUGUUGUCCACCCUCCUCAUUCCU